rnacentral:lncRNA from 1 species
UUUUUUUUUUUUUUGCCAACCCCUGAUGUGACUGGGGCCACAGGCAGCACCUACUCACAGGCCCCCAGUGAUGGUAGGCCAUGCCUCCCUCCAGCCUCCAAGAAGACAGUUGCAGUCUGUCCCUGCCGCCUGUAGAUCAUGCAAAAGGUGCAUCACAUCACACUUAGCCCCACAUUGACCCCAGCCCACACAAGAGGUGCCUGGCCACCUGCAGCCCUGACAAGAAGCACCCAGUCUCCCGUAGCCUGAGUGAGUGGCUUAUUGCCACCCAUAGCCUAUACCAGAGCCACCACACCCUCUGAGAGCCUGCGCACACUUGAGCAGGGAGAUUCUUGUGGCAGUCCACCCCUCCUCUUCUUACCCUCCCCAACAAUGGCACCUUGCUUCUCUUGCAGGCCCAGACCUUCUUCCGGGUUCCCUCUGCAAUGGAGUUCCACUCUCCAGCCCUUAGCACACUGCUCCUUAGCCCCUCAGGCUGUCCCCACACAGCCAAACCCAGUCCUCUCCCUGGGACUGACCUCCAGAACUUGAGUCUCAGCACCCAGCCCCGACCCGAGCGUCUCAGGCUGUGGUGUCUGCACUGGUGGUUCAGAUAAUGUGUGUGGCUCUCACUGUACUUUGCCCUCCUCAGACCAGGUGCUGCACUUUUCUCAGUGACCUUGAGGUCCCUCCAUCUUAGCUGAUGGCUUCAUAGGAUAUGUGUUCCUUUUCUCCUUCACAGCUCCUUCUCAGGAAUGCUAGUCCCAUCGUGAUUCCUUCUCUCUAUUUUUUUUUCUACCCAGUUAUGUCAAGAGUUUCUUGACCUUUUUGGAGGUUUAAGUUCUUCUGCCAGCAUUCAGUAGAUGUUCUGUGUGAGUUUUUUUACAUGCAAAUGUGUUUUUUUAAUGAUUUUGUGGGAGAAGAUAAGUGAGACAUCUUACUCCUCCACCACCACCUCUGUCAGACAAAUUUUUAAUAUGGUAUAAUAAGACUUUAAUGAAUUGGAUUUCUCUUAUGCCUCUUUCCACCUGCUUACUUGGCCCCAGCCACCAAGAUUUUCUUAGUCUUCCUUGCUCACAGGCCAAGCAUACUCUCAACUCAUGUUUUUGCACAGGCUGUUCCUUGGAAUGGAAAACUCUUUGCCCAGACAUCCACCUCAUUUCCAUGUAAAUCUUUUCUCCAGCUGCUUAAAUGGCAACUUCCUAUCACUCCCAAUCUUCUUUCCUGAAUUAUUUUACUUCUUGGAACAGAGCUUAAAACAACUAUCAUAUAAGAAAAUUUUGAAUGUUAAUAAAUUAAUAUAAUACCAAAGGUUAGUUUUUAAGCUUAUAGUUACUCCUUUGAAUAAAAUUUGUCUGUUUCCUCUAUACUUUAACUGUAUCUCUUUUACUUUGUCAAAGUUUUAAUACCAUGUGCUGAGUUAUGCUUUUUCUUUGUAUUUACACUGCUUUGAAAUCAUAUGGAUUCUUGAAACUGUUGUUUGAUAAGUUUCAUAAAUUUUGUAACAUUUUUAGCUAGUAUUUUUGAAGACAUUCAUUCUUUCACUUCCUCUCUUAUUGUCUCCCAGAAAUAUAAGUGCAUGCAUUUUGAAUCUUUCUACCGUAUUCCAUACAGUUCUUUCAUAAUUUUAUUUAGUUUUUAUCUUUAUAUUUUCUUUGUAUUUCCACCUGGACGUUUUCUGAUGAUCAGUCUUAAAAUCUCCUCAUUUUCUUUUUCGUUAUCUAUUUAAACACCUACUUAUGGUUACCAUAUUUUUUAUUUCUAGGAAUAGUUUGAUUCCUUUUUUUUAAGAUACCUUGGUUUCAAUUUUCUGGUUUUAAUUCUCCAUCUUUUCAUCUAUUAAAGUUGUUAAUUGUAAUUUAAAUUCCUUUUUGAAAACUCCAGUAUCUUGGUCACUUGUGGAUUUGUUGCUUUACCCAUGUUCUUAGUUUUAUUUGGUCUUAUGUCCUCUUAGGUAUAAUACUUUUUAUUGAAUACAAUACGCAUUAAUGAUGGCAAAACCUCUAAGUGAUGUUUUAUAUCUCCCCACUAGAUAUAAUUCUAUUCCUGUAGGCAGAUUAUCUUAUUCUGCCUCAGAUUUACCUAUCCUAUCCCAUUUUGCCCCAGGGUUUACCUCUUUCAGGGUCUCAGUUGAAAUCCUGAAUUUUAAACAUGACUCUUCAUUCUUAUUAGGCUAAAAUGUCAAUUUUUUGUUCUUCCAGUACUGUCAAUAUUCUAGAAAUUCUUAUUAGUGUUACAAUGUUUGGUAUCUGUUUUAAUAUUCUCAACAUCUCACCCAUAUAAGGUUUAGAAGUUGGUAAUUAUAGCAAGAUGAAAUUAAAUGAAUGAUUUCAUGCUCAUUUAAUGGUAUUUCCCUGAUAGUGACACUCCUUGUGUCUCAGCUUUCUUUGUUUUUCUUGGAUACACCUUUUAAAAAACCUUAUUAUCUUCUUUUAGUACAUAACAGGGGAAUUAAUCUAAUGUAAGGUAUAUCAUUCUAGCUACAUGUGAAAAUUUCUGUAUAUACAUAGUUUGCAUUAAAAGCUGCCGCUAUUUCUGAGACCUUCUGAGAGGUCUGAAAAAUGAAAUUUAUUCUUCCAUUUUUAAAUUAAUAAAUAUUAAUGAUAAGCUCUUAAUACCUUUCUUUGUAGUCAUGUUUUUAAUUUUAGUAUCUGAAGAUCUACUGAUACCCAAUAAUUAUUAUGACAAUUGAAAAUUUUUCUUAUUAUACCAUAGCGGUUUAUAGAAAUAAAUAAAUAUGUUAAGUAUAUAUGUCUAUAGAUAAAUACAUAUGUCUAUAGAUAACUUUUCAUAAUUAAAGCAAUAGAAUCAUCCUAAAAACAAAGCAAACCAACAGAUAAUUAUUUAUAAUAAGUAAAAGAAAACAAAGAAGCAAGAUUAGCUACAUAAUUUAUCAUCAUUUGACCUAGUCCAAAUGAAAAUACAGGACCCUUGUUUAAAAAUUAAGAAGUUCAGGACACCACAGCAGAACAUUAAAUAGAUUCUAGAGAAUAGCAAGUGUUCCUUCUUUAUUUCAAAAGUUUAUAAAUAUGUUAGAUUAAAAGUAACUCUAAAAGUUCCCCUCAUUGUAAAAUUCUAAUUUCUCUGAGUUCUAUGACACCCAAAAUAAUAUGUAUGCAAUAAUAUAUAACCCACUGGGGAAAAAGUAGAUAUAAUGAGAAUGUAUGUAAGAAUUACUAUUUUUAAAAGGAUAGUUUUAGACUCUGUAGGAAAAUAACAUACUUUUCUCAUCAUAGAAAAAAAUGCUAAAAUAUAUACUUUAUGUAUUAACUGUAAUGUAUAUCUUCUUCUUGAAUGUUGCCUUUUUUUAUUUUUGGAACCACCGUUUUUAUUCUACUUUGUUAUUCUGAGCCCACAUAUUGAUAAACGUUAUAACUUCCUCUUCAUAUUGUGAUAUUUUUCUUGGUAAAAACUAAGUUACAUUGUAAUCAGACAAUGGAGUCUUAUAAUACUUGCAAUUGGAGGCAGAUUUUGCAAAAAUAGCUCUCAGCCACUGCUUAACAAUAAACAAUUAUUGAGACAAAUUUUUUUCUCAUGCAUCAUGCUCUCUCAUGCUUUUAAAACUGCUUAUUCUUUGGAGUUCCCAUCGUGACGCAGUGGUUAACGAACCUGACUAGGAGCCAUGAGGUUGCGAGUUUGAUUCCCUGGCCUCACUCACUGGGUUAAGGAUCCAGCAUUGCCAUGAGCUGUGGAGUAGGUAGUAGACGUGGCUUGGGUCCCACGUUGCUGUGGCUCUGGCAUAGGCCAGUGGCUACAGCUCCGAUUAGACCUCUAUCCCGGGAAUCUCCAUAUACCAUGGGUGCUGCCCUAGAAAAGAUUAAAUAAAUAAAUAAAUAAAUAAAACUGCUUAUUCUGUUCCACCUACCUGGAAUCCUUUUAUCAUCCUGAUUUAACUAGCAAGUCUUUGAGUUUAUUUCAGAAUUCAGUUUAGAUAGAAAAUCCUGUUGGAAUUUGCUGCCUGAGUUCUGGCUAAUUUCCUGUGCCCCAUAGCCCAUUAUACAGGCAUAGAGCAUAGAUGGGCCAUGAAAUAUAGAAUACCAUGUAUUGUCAGUCUGGCUGCCUUUUAUGGAAGCACCUUGUGUUAGUAAUAUUUGUUAUCCCAGAAUUCAGUAGGUAUUCAAUAAAUAAUUGUUUGACCAAGCAGAAAUGAGCUUAACUAAUGGUGUUUAUAAUUUUGCUCAUCAAUUUCUUGAGUGCCUAACAUUUUUCAGACAAUGGUUAAAUAUCAGUGAACAAUUGAGAGUUGAUUACUGCCCUUACAGAAUUCAAAAUGCUAAAAACAGAGAUUAAAAAAUGAAAAAGAAAUAAUACUCUGAUCAUAGCUAUGAGGACAGUAUAAAGUGUUAUGGGCAUGUAAUGGGCAGUUGGACCCCAAAAUUACUUAGCAUAAAAAUAAGAUGCUAAAUUGAUGUAUUCAGCAUUUGCAUCACAAAUUAUCCUAAAGAUUGUGCUGUCAACUAAUCUCAUUAAGUCUAUAUUCAUUUUGUUUUUAUAUAAUGAUAUCAUCCCCCAUUUCUUAAUUUCAAACAUUUUGAUUGCCUUUGUAUUCAAAUGAACCCCAAGGCAAAGACAUGCAGGACUGCACACUUAAAAACAUGAUUUAAAUAUCUAGGCUUUACACAUUGUCAUUCUAACUACAUCCUCUUAUUAACAAUUCCUGGCCUCCCUUUUAUUAUCCCAGCCAACCCCUCCCAUUUAUAGGCAUCAAGAAGGCACGGAAUUAGUAUUACCUUUCUUCAAACACAAAUAAAAGAAAAAACAGUUUUCUGUGAAAAUUUUGAAAUACACCUCAGUUUAGGUGUCAGAAAUCUAUGACAACUUUUGAAUUUAUGUUACCAAGAUAUGCCUUCUCAUUAUAAAUAUUUAUUGUAUUUGUUCUUUGAUAAUAUUAAGAUAUAUAUAGUAAUAUAUAAAUAUGAAACUAUGAACUCCUAGGUCAAAUAAAAUGUACAACGUAGUAUUUUAGUGUUAAAAUCCUUAUUUUAAGGUAUAGGUAAAAUUAUAACAAUACAUCAAAAACUUUUGUUCACUUAGAAGAUUUUUUAUGGUACUUUGUUGUUCCAGUGUACUAUUAAGUAAUAUCACAUAAAAUUAUAAGUGACAUGGACUCAAAGUUCAUCUAGUCAGUACAGUGGUGUUCUUAUGUACUUAGGUAUGUCUUCAUCCAUAUAUUUUCAUAUGCAUAGCUGAAAUAAUUGCUCUUCAGAUCUGACUUUUCUUAAUACACAGACUAUAUAUAUUUAUAUAUAUAUAUAAAAUAAUCUGUUGUCAGAUUCAUUUGUAAAAUGAGCAUUCUUUGCUUGGGCUACAAAUGACUAAAAAUUAUAUAUGAUUUUAGAGUCAAUAGGGUUUAGAGUAAUGCUAAAUGAGAAAUAAUGUUUUUGUUCCCUACAGCCGUUGUUCAUUGUUGUCUUAUAUUUCCCAUGCAUGGGUUUCCUUCCAUGAGUGAUUUUAGUAAUUUAAUCUCCAUUAUUUUGGAGAAAUUCUUAUUCACAUACCUGGAAAAUUGACUUCCAUUUUUGUCAUUUGCUGGAGAUCUGGAAAAACUUUCCCAUCUUCAGAUAAAAAAUCUUUAGAAAUAUUUUAUGCAUUUUUACCCUGCAAAUACAAAUCUGUUUACUAGCUAUAUUUUACAAAGAAACAAAGUUCCUCCUAAAACAAGAAAAACAAUUCUUAACCAUAGGUUAGAUAAGAUAGCCCAUAUAUGGGACAGGCUACCAUCCAUGGAAGUUACGUUACUUAUAAGUGUUGGAAUAGUUAACUUAUCAGAGUUCUGGUCUUUGGAGAAUCUUAAGUGAGAUAACUUUGAAGUUAUAAGUUUCUAGUAUUUAAGUUUAUUUUAAAUUGGAGCUUUGAGUCUGGUAAUUUUUCAGCAGAUACCAUGAUCAACUAUUCAUUACAUUUUGCUGGCAUUCUUGAAAGAUCGAGGCCUCAGAAAAAUAAUUUCAUCUCUCUUAGCCAUUGGUGGAGAAAGAAAACAACCGCAUGCACAUACACUGGCCUUUGAUCCUAGAAUACUUAGGAACAAAUUCGUUUAUAAAAUAAUUAUGUUCUAGAUAAGCCAAGAUUCUUCUUUCCAAAGAGCAAAGGAAUAGUAUAGCACAUUUAUUUGGGAUACAUAACAUUUUCUGUGUGUGUCUUUUGUCUUUUUAGGGCCAUAUCCAUGGCAUAUGGAGGUUCACAGUUUAGGGGUCUAAUCAGAGCUGUUGCCGCUGGCCUAUGCCACAGCCACAGCAAUGUCAGAUCGGAGUCAUGUCUGCAACCUACGCCACAGCUCACAGCAACGCCAGAUCCUUAACCCACUGAGCAAGGUCAGGAAUUGAACCCGCAACCUCAUGGUUCCUAGUUGGAUUCAUUUCCGCUGCGCCAGGAUGGGAACUCCAACUUCUAAAGCCUACAUGGCCAGGGGUAUUAAAUGGCAAAUCUAUGUUUAAUUUUAAAUUUCUUUGCAAAUGUCUCCUUAAAGAGCUGAAACAUGAAACAAAAAUGUUUUCAUUUUUAACUUCAAAGGAAACUAUUUGCAUGUUUGUCUAUUAGACCUCACACCAAUAUCUGAGCUAAAGAAAGUGUU